AUCGGCCGAUCGCCUUGAGUUGAUCAUGGCUCAGAAUAACGCUGGCGGCGUGCCUAACACAUGCAAGUCGAGCGAGAAAAGGGUAGCAAUAUCCUGAGUACAGCGGCGCACGGGUGAGUAACACGUGGGUAAUCUGCCCUGGAGUGGGGAAUAACACCGGGAAACCGGUGCUAAUACCGCAUACGAUCACGAUGUCUGCGGAUGUUGUGAUGAAAGGAGCAAUUCGCUCCAGGAGGAGCCCGCGGCUGAUUAGCUAGUUGGUGAGGUAACGGCUCACCAAGGCUACGAUCAGUAUCCGGUCUGAGAGGACGGUCGGACACACUGGAACUGAGACACGGUCCAGACUCCUACGGGAGGCAGCAGUGGGGAAUUUUUCGCAAUGGGGGCAACCCUGACGAAGCAACGCCGCGUGGGUGAUGAAGUCCCUUGGGACGUAAAACCCUUUCGACGGGGAAGAAACCGCAAGGUUGACGGUACCCGUAGAAGAAGCCCCGGCUAACUCCGUGCCAGCAGCCGCGGUAAUACGGGGGGGGCAAGCGUUGUUCGGAAUUACUGGGCGUAAAGGGCGCGUAGGCGGUCUGCUAAGUUGGAUGUGAAAACUCUGGGCUUAACCCAGAGCCUGCAUUCAAAACUGACAGGCUAGAGUUCUGGAGGGGAUAGCGGAAUUCCUGGUGUAGCGGUGAAAUGCGUAGAUAUCAGGAGGAACACCGGUGGCGAAGGCGGCUAUCUGGACAGAGUCUGACGCUGAGGCGCGAAAGCUAG
rnacentral:rRNA from 1 species